rnacentral:rRNA from 1 species
AUACGGAGGGUGCAAGCGUUAUUCGGAUUCAUUGGGUUUAAAGGGUGCGCAGGCGGAAUGAUAAGUCAGUGGUGAAAUCCUACAGCUUAACUGUAGAACUGCCAUUGAUACUGUCAUUCUUGAGUACACUUGAAGUGGGCGGAAUGUAUCAUGUAGCGGUGAAAUGCAUAGAUAUGAUACAGAACUCCGAUAGCGAAGACAGCUCACUAAAUUGUAACUGACGCUCAGGCACGAAAGCGUGGGGAGCAAACAGGAUUAGAUACCCCGGUAGUCC